GGACGAACGCUGGCGGCGUGCUUAACACAUGCAAGUCGAACGGUAAGGCCCUUCGGGGUACACGAGUGGCGAACGGGUGAGUAACACGUGGGUGAUCUGCCCUGCACUUUGGGAUAAGCCUGGGAAACUGGGUCUAAUACCGAAUAGGACCAUGGACUUCACGGUUUGUGGUGGAAAGCUUUUGCGGUGUGGGAUGGGCCCGCGGCCUAUCAGCUUGUUGGUGGGGUAAUGGCCUACCAAGGCGACGACGGGUAGCCGGCCUGAGAGGGUGACCGGCCACACUGGGACUGAGAUACGGCCCAGACUCCUACGGGAGGCAGCAGUGGGGAAUAUUGCACAAUGGGCGCAAGCCUGAUGCAGCGACGCCGCGUGAGGGAUGACGGCCUUCGGGUUGUAAACCUCUUUCAGCACAGACGAAGCGCAAGUGACGGUAUGUGCAGAAGAAGGACCGGCCAACUACGUG
rnacentral:rRNA from 1 species